rnacentral:rRNA from 1 species
AGCGAACGCUGGCGGCAGGCUUAACACAUGCAAGUCGAACGGUCCUUCGGGAUAGUGGCGGACGGGUGAGUAACACGUGGGAACGUACCCUUAGGUUCGGAACAACACAGGGAAACUUGUGCUAAUACCGGAUAAGCCCUUCGGGGGAAAGAUUUAUCGCCUUUGGAGCGGCCCGCGUCUGAUUAGCUUGUUGGUGAGGGAAUGGCUCACCAAGGCUACGAUCAGUAGCUGGUCUGAGAGGAUGGCCAGCCACACUGGGACUGAGACACGGCCCAGACUCCUACGGGAGGCAGCAGUGGGGAAUCUUGCGCAAUGGGCGAAAGCCUGACGCAGCCAUGCCGCGUGGAUGAUGAAGGUCUUAGGAUUAUAAAAUCCUUUCACCGGGGACGAUAAUGACGGUACCCGGAGAAGAAGCCCCGGCUAACUUCGUGCCAGCAGCCGCCGUAA